rnacentral:rRNA from 1 species
AGAACGAACGCUGGUGGCAUGCCUAAUACAUGCAAGUCGAACGAAGGCUUCGGCCUUAGUGGCGCACGGGUGCGUAACGCGUGGGAAUCUGCCCCUUGGUUCGGAAUAACAGUUGGAAACGACUGCUAAUACCGGAUGAUGACGAAAGUCCAAAGAUUUAUCGCCAAGGGAUGAGCCCGCGUAGGAUUAGCUAGUUGGUGAGGUAAAGGCUCACCAAGGCGACGAUCCUUAGCUGGUCUGAGAGGAUGAUCAGCCACACUGGGACUGAGACACGGCCCAGACUCCUACGGGAGGCAGCAGUAGGAAUA